CAAUAGCGUAUAUUUAAGUUGUUGCAGUUAAAAAGCUCGUAGUUGGAUUUCGGUUAAGAGCGACCGGUCCGCCGUUUGGUGUGCACUGGUUGGUUUUAACUUCCUGUAGAGGACGUGCUCUGGGUUUAACGACCUGGACUCGGAGUCUACGUGGUUACUUUGAAAAAAUUAGAGUGUUCAAAGCGGGCUUACGCUUGAAUAUUUCAGCAUGGAAUAACACUAUAGGACUCCUGUCCUAUUUCGUUGGUCUCGGGACGGGAGUAAUGAUUAAGAGGAACAGUUGGGGGCAUUCGUAUUUCAUUAUCAGAGGUGAAAUUCUUGGAUUUAUGAAAGACGAACUUCUGCGAAAGCAUUUGCCAAGGAUGUUUUCAUUAA
rnacentral:rRNA from 1 species